rnacentral:lncRNA from 1 species
UUGGGGUUGUUUGUGGGGAUUUUGGGGUUAUUUAGGGAGAAAUCUUGGGGUCAUUUGAGGUUGGAUUUUGGGGUUGUUUGAGGAAGGAUUUUGGGGCCAUUUCUGGGCAUUUUGGGCUGGAGGGAUUUGGGGAGGGGUCCCGGGGGUCCUCACCUCGGCCGAUGACCAGCCCACACUUGUGGGUGGGGAUUAUGGGGAGGGAUUUUGGGGCCAUUUAGGGAGAAAUUUUGGGACCAUUUGGGGUUGGAUUUUGGGACUGUUUAGGGGGAUUUUUGG